GUCGAACGCUGGCGGCGUGCCUAAUACAUGCAAGUCGAGCGAACAGAUGGGAGCUUGCUCCCUGAAGUUAGCGGCGGGCGGGUGAGUAACACGUGGGCAACCUGCCUAUAAGACUGGGAUAACUUCGGGAAACCGGAGCUAAUACCGGAUAGUUCUUCCCUCCUCAUGGAGGGAAGGGGCAAGAUGGUUUCGGCUAUCACUUAUAGAUGGGCACGCGGCGCAUUAGCUAGUUGGUAAGGUAACGGCUUACCAAGGAGACGAUGCGUAGCCGACCUAGGAGGGUGAGCGGCCACACUGGGACUGAGACACGGCCCAGACUCCUACGGGAGGCAGCAGUAGGGAAUCAUCCGCAAUGGACGAAAGUCUGAAGGAGCAACGCCGCGUGAACGAAGAAGGCCUUCGGGUCGUAAAGUUCUUUUGUUAGGGAAGAACAAGUGUGGGAGUAACUGCCCGCACCUUGACGGUACCUAACCAGAAGGCCACGGCUAACUACGUGCCAGCCGCCGCGGUAAUAC
rnacentral:rRNA from 1 species